UACAGAGGGUGCGAGCGUUAAUCAGAAUUACUGGGCGUAAAGGGCGCGUAGGCGGUUAUAUAAGUUAGAUGUGAAAUCCCUGGGCUUAACCUAGGAACUGCAUCUAAGACUGUAUAACUAGAGUGCAGUAGAGGGUAGUGGAAUUUCCGGUGUAGCGGUGAAAUGCGUAGAUAUCGGAAGGAACACCAGUGGCGAAGGCGGCUACCUGGACUGACACUGACGCUGAGGCGCGAGAGCGUGGGGAGCAAACAGG
rnacentral:rRNA from 1 species